CAAGACCGAACUCAUAGGACCGCCCACUUGGAAAAACGUUUCACGCCAUUGAAUAGCCAUUAGCCACAGCCACAGGCAGCGCUGCGGUCGCAUUGAUUGCUGCUUUAAACACGACUUCAAUGAUUUACACUCGGGAAUAAAUGAAGAAGAAUAAGAGUUGUAUGUAAACAUCUGAAAUAGAAAAUACCCGGUGUGUCUUUAGGAGUAAAAUCAUGGGGCAGCAACCAUCUUGAAUAAUAUUUUUUAUUCAAUUACACUUGAUCUAAUGAAGCCUGGAAGCAGUUGGUAGACACAUAUAUAUACUAAUUAUAUAUAAAAUAUAUAAGUAUUAUGCAUAGUAAAUAGUAUUUAUCUGUGUUGGUAGAUAAAAUAACAAAACUGGAAUUGAUACCCCUCGCUAAAAUGAAAUCUAUGGAAAAUCAGAUGAUAUCAGAUAACAAAGAUUUUUAUAAAAUAACAUAAUACAGAAAUUAGUUAUACCAAACCGAUCAAUUUGGUGACGAACCGGUCACUCAUUUUUGUGUGACCAUCGUCCAUCUCUAAUAAACGGUUAUAAUUGAUAAUCCCUUCCAUAAUUAUUAGCUCUCCUAAUGAAUGGCACAUGCUAUCACACAAUGUAUACAUCAAACGAUGAGAAUAAAGAUUCGAUGAAAAAAAAAAUUAUUUUGGUACAGGAGGGAGUUAGCUAUUAUUAUCAAACGAAUAUCUGGAAUAUGAUUUAUCAAUAGACGAUAGACCUUAUGCUAAAUAUAAAGUCUAAAGACUUACAGAAUGAUAUGAAUCAUCUAUGGCAAUCGCUAAUUAUCACCAUUCGUCAUAGAUGAUUAACAAUUGUAAUUAUUUCAAUGAUCAAAAAUAAAUAAGGUAUCAAAUGUUAAAUAAGUCGUUAAGCUAGAUUAAGCGUUGGCACUUUAAGAAUGGUACGGCUAGGUAUCUCCAGAAGUCGAUGCUUACACAUAAGUUUGUUUUUAUAUUAUCUGGGGCUUAAACUUUAAAUAAAUAUUCAUUGGAACCACGAUUUAAGAUAUCUUAAUUCGUGAUUGGAACGAACCAGCUACUAACUGAGUGACGCGAGCCCAAACAAUCUAAAUGCUACCUUAUUUUCCCCACUCACAGGUUAAAUGUACCUAUUUUGCCUAUACUUUACGCCGUGGCGCGCCGGAGACACCGGGUAACACAAGUUUUUUUUUUUUGUAACAUAGAAUAAAAAACUUAUGAACAAAAAAAAAAAUUUCAAUAAUAUCAUAAAACAUACUAAUUACUAAUAUAGGUUGAUAAAAGAACUUUGAUCAGAAACGUUUAUUGUAUACAAUGAUUUUUAUAACAUUGAAUUCAAAUUUAACACAUCCAUUACAGUGACUCAUGUCUCACACAACGCCUAAUGUAUAUCAGAAUGGUACUUACUUGCCCACCUUUUAUUAUAUUUAUUUGUCUACCAUUUGCUACAAAACUUUUGUACAGCAACACUUACCCAAAAUAUCAUUAUUUCUGUCAUGACAAAUUAUAAUAAAAAUACACCUAUGUUCUAAACAUAUACAUAUUAUUAUUAAUUCUUAUUAUCUACAACAGUUUUUAAACAAAUUACUUGACAUGAUAUGAAUAUUAAAUAUAAUUGAAGUCAUUUUAGUAAAUAAGUAGGACAUAUAUCAGGAUUAUAUUGAAAAAAGUAGGUAUAGGUACUAUCAUUUUUUUCAGUGGUUUUAAGUUUAAAAGUCCUACGACAUAAAUUACUUAAUACAAUCCAAGAAUGGAGGGGUCUCCAGAUCCAGGUUAAGAUUAAAUUCAAUUUAUUUUGUGGAUAUAUAUUGGUUGUCACUGGUUUGCUAUUAAAAUAAUAUAUAUGCUCUAUAUAUUCUAUUCAAUGAUUGUAUAAAAUGUAAAAAAUUAAGACAUAAUGUUAAUGCCGUGAUGGAUUUAUAAUGUUUUCAAAAUAUUAUAAAUAAUGUAAGUAUAAAUAAAGCGUUAAAAAAAUUCUUAAAAGUUCCGAUA